GCUCUUGGCUCAGGUGGCAGAGCACAAGACUCUUAAUCUCAGGGUCAUGUGUUUGAGUCUCACGUUGGGCA